UACGGAGGUUGCAAGCGUUGUUCGGAAUCAUUGGGCGUAAAGGGCGCGUAGGCGGGUCGCUAAGUCCGAUGUGAAAUCCCUCGGCUCAACUGAGGACGUGCAUCGGAUACUGACGGUCUUGAGUCCUGGAGAGGGUAGCGGAAUUCCCAGUGUAGAGGUGAAAUUCGUAGAUAUUGGGAGGAACACCGGUGGCGAAGGCGGCUACCUGGACAGUGACUGACGCUGAGGCGCGAAAGCAUGGGUAGCAAACAGG
rnacentral:rRNA from 1 species